rnacentral:rRNA from 1 species
CAGCCGCCGCGGUAAUACGAAGGGUGCAAGCGUUAAUCGGAAUUACCGGGCGUAAAGCGUGCGUAGGCGGUUUGUUAAGUCUGUUGUGAAAUCCCCGGGCUCAACCUGGGAAUGGCAAUGGAUACUGGCAAGCUAGAGUGUGUCAGAGGAUGGUGGAAUUCCCGGUGUAGCGGUGAAAUGCGUAGAGAUCGGGAGGAACAUCAGUGGCGAAGGCGGCCAUCUGGGACAACACUGACGCUGAGGCACGAAAGCGUGGGGAGCAAACAGGAUUAGAUACCCGCGUAGUCCCUGUCUCUUAUAC